CCUACGGGGGGCAGCAGUAGGGAAUCUUUCACAAUGGGCGAAAGCCUGAUGGAGCAACGCCGCGUGCAGGAUGAAGGCCUUCGGGUUGUAAACUGCUUUUAUAAGCGAGAAAGAUGAUGGUAACUUAUGAAUAAGGAUCGGCUAACUACGUGCCAGCAGCCGCGGUCAUACGUAGGAUCCGAGCAUUAUCCGGAGUGACUGGGUGUAAAGAGUUGCGUAGGUGGCAUAAUAAGUAGCUAGUGAAAUCUGGUGGCUCAACCAUUCAGACUAUUAGCUAAACUGUUAAGCUCGAGACCGUUAGGGGUAACUGGAAUUUCUAGUGUAGGAGUGAAAUCCGUAGAUAUUAGAAGGAACACCAAUAGCGUAGGCAGGUUGCUGGGACGGUUCUGACACUAAGGCACGAAAGCGUAGGGAGCAAACGGGAUUAGAUACCCGAGUAGUC
rnacentral:rRNA from 1 species